UCCAUCCUCAUCAAGCCCCUGCCGCGAAUCAGAAUCUAUCUCAUCGCCGGAUGGGAAGCGCAUAGAUGAUUGAUGUGGUUCGGUUUCCAACUUCCCAUUCAGAUCAGAUGCUUUAUCAAAAGCAUUUUCUUUUUUUCCCUCUUUGCUUCGAAAAAAAGUGCAACAUACAAAAAGAAAGAAACCACUUUGGAUGAUGAUGAAACUGUGCAUUGAUACUACUCCUGCUCGAUAAAACAUGGAAUUACUUCCACUUUCAUUUACUCAUAUUUUUUGUCACUGUUCUCUGUACACAUUGGUUUUAUUCCUCUCACAGCUGCAUCCUAAGCUAGAAACGGGAUUACAUGGCAUGCAUAUUUACAGAGGCUUAAGGAAAAUUGCAAAAUGAAACUAGAAAAGACUACCAUUUAUUUUUUUGAUUUUCGGGGCCUCGUUUUUGCCUCUUGCACGGUUGCUACUCCACGAGUGCGGCGAAGCAGCUCUCGGUGCGCGCGAGCGGGGCGCCGGCGCCGGCGCCGNNNNN
rnacentral:lncRNA from 1 species